rnacentral:lncRNA from 1 species
AGGCCCCUGGAAGAUUGGAUGGUGCCUGCCUAUACGGAGGGCGGAUCUUCCCCUCCUCGUCCACUCAGACUCACAUGCAAGUCUCCUCUAGAAACACCCUUGCAGACACACCCCAAAAUGACACUUUUAGAGGCCAUGGUGAGACAAAGCAGCUGACAGAAAUGCUACGCAGCGUCUUAAACCAGCUUGCUGCAGUCAGUCUGACUAGUUUAAGGAGACUGGCUGAAGCUCUGCCCAAACAAUCUGUGGAUGGAAAAGCACCACUUGCUACUGGAG